rnacentral:rRNA from 1 species
AAAAACAUAUUUAAUAGCUCUAAUUAUUAAUACUUCCUGCUCAAUGAAUUAUUAAAUAGCCGCAGUUCAUACUGUGCUAAGGUAGCAUAAUCAUUUGUCUUUUAAUUAAAGACUAGAAUGAAAGGAUUAACAUUUAAACCUUUAUUACAAUUUUUAAAUUUUAACUUUUUUUAAAUGUAACAAAACAUUUAUAAAAAGAAAGACGAAAAGACCCUAUUGAACUUAACUUCAGUUUAACUGGGGCAGUUAAUUAAUUAAUAUUUUAAUUYUAUUUUUUAAAAAAAUGACCAGAUUUAAUCGACUAAAUGAUCAAGUUACCAUAGGGAUAACAGCGUAAUAAUUUUCAAUAGAUCUUAUAUAAAAAAAUGAUUGCGACCUCGAUGUUGAAUUAAUUUUUCUAAUAAAUGCAACAAUUUAAAAAGAAAGUCUGUUCGACUUUUAAAUAAUUACAUGAUCUGAG